AUGAACGCUAGCGGCAGGCCUAACACAUGCAAGUCGAGGGGCAUCACGAGGUAGCAAUACUUUGGUGGCGACCGGCGCACGGGUGCGUAACGCGUAUGUAACCUACCUAUAACAGGGGCAUAACACUGAGAAAUUGGUACUAAUUCCCCAUAAUAUUCGGAGAGGCAUCUCUCCGGGUUGAAAACUCCGGUGGUUAUAGAUGGACAUGCGUUGUAUUAGCUAGUUGGUGAGGUAACGGCUCACCAAGGCAACGAUACAUAGGGGGACUGAGAGGUUAACCCCCCACACUGGUACUGAGACACGGACCAGACUCCUACGGGAGGCAGCAGUGAGGAAUAUUGGUCAAUGGACGCAAGUCUGAACCAGCCAUGCCGCGUGCAGGAAGACGGCUCUAUGAGUUGUAAACUGCUUUUGUACGAGGGUAAACUCACCUACGUGUAGGUGACUGAAAGUAUCGUACGAAUAAGGAUCGGCUAACUCCGUGCCAGCAGCCGCGGUAAUACGGAGGAUUCAAGCGUUAUCCGGAUUUAUUGGGUUUAAAGGGUGCGUAGGCGGUUUGAUAAGUUAGAGGUGAAAUCCCGGGGCUUAACUCCGGAACUGCCUCUAAUACUGUUAGACUAGAGAGUAGUUGCGGUAGGCGGAAUGUAUGGUGUAGCGGUGAAAUGCUUAGAGAUCAUACAGAACACCGAUUGCGAAGGCAGCUUACCAAACUAUAUCUGACGUUGAGGCACGAAAGUGUGGGGAGCAAACAGGAUUAGAUACCCUGGUAGUCCACGCAGUAAACGAUGAUAACUCGUUGUCGGCGAUACACAGUCGGUGACUAAGCGAAAGCGAUAAGUUAUCCACCUGGGGAGUACGUUCGCAAGAAUGAAACUCAAAGGAAUUGACGGGGGCCCGCACAAGCGGUGGAGUAUGUGGUUUAAUUCGAAGCAACGCGAAGAACCUUACCAGGCCUUGACAUCCCUUGCAGAGGUAUAGAGAUAUAUCCGAGGUUAUCAAGGAGACAGGUGGUGCAUGGUUGUCGUCAGCUCGUGUCGUGAGAUGUUGGGUUAAGUCCCGCAACGAGCGCAACCCUUAUUGCCAGUUACUACGCAAGAGGACUCUGGCGAGACUGCCGUUGACAAAACGGAGGAAGGUGGGGAUGACGUCAAAUCAGCACGGCCCUUACGUCCGGGGCUACACACGUGUUACAAUGGUAGGUACAGAGGGUCGCUACUCCGUGAGGAGAUGCCAAUCUCGAAAGCCUAUCUCAGUUCGGAUUGGAGGCUGAAACCCGCCUCCAUGAAGUUGGAUUCGCUAGUAAUCGCGCAUCAGCCAUGGCGCGGUGAAUACGUUCCCGGGCCUUGUACACACCGCCCGUCAAGCCAUGGAAGCUGGGGGUGCCUGAAGUUCGUGACCGCAAGGAGCGACCUAGGGCAAAACCGGUAACUGGGGCU
rnacentral:rRNA from 1 species